rnacentral:rRNA from 1 species
CUAAGUCGGGAUUGGAUAAGUGCUGAAAGCAUCUAAGUACGAAGCCAGCCCCAAGAUAAGAUUUCCCUUAAGGGUCGUCAGAGACGAUGACGUAGAUAGGUUGCAGAUGUAAAGGCAGUAAUGUCAAAGUCGAGCAAUACUAAUCACCCGUGACUUUCGGUU